GUGGGGAAUCUUAGACAAUGGGCGCAAGCCUGAUCUAGCCAUGCCGCGUGAGCGAUGAAGGCCUUAGGGUUGUAAAGCUCUUUCAGUGGGGAAGAUAAUGACUGUACCCACAGAAGAAGCCCCGGCUAACUCCGUGCCAGCAGCCGCGGUAAUACGGAGGGGGCUAGCGUUGUUCGGAAUUACUGGGCGUAAAGCGCACGUAGGCGGACUGGAAAGUCAGGGGUGAAAUCCCGGGGCUCAACCCCGGAACUGCCUUUGAAACUCCCAGUCUUGAGGUCGAGAGAGGUGAGUGGAAUUCCGAGUGUAGAGGUGAAAUUCGUAGAUAUUCGGAGGAACACCAGUGGCGAAGGCGACUCACUGGCUCGAUACUGACGCUGAGGUGCGAAAGCGUGGGGAGCAAACAGGAUUAGAUACCCCAGUAGUCC
rnacentral:rRNA from 1 species